AAUAGCGGCCAUAGCAGAGGGGAAACACCUGGACCCAUUCCGAACCCAGCAGUUAAGCCCUCUCACGUGAUGUGUGGUACUGAGGUGCGCGAGCCCUCGGGAAGCGCAACUCGCUGCUAUUAC
rnacentral:rRNA from 1 species